rnacentral:lncRNA from 1 species
UAAUGUGUAACUCACUUACACUCUUCCAUAAUGAGUCCUUGCCAUGUGGAAGGCACUCUGAAGAAUACAAAUAAGACUGUAAGAUGUAAUUCCUACUUCCACAAAGUAAAGCCCCCUGCAUAUAUGUUUACUGAUGUAAUGCACCUUAAGGUUAAUGACUCAAUGUUCAGUAACUACCAGCAGGAAUUUUCCCAGUAUUCCACAGAGCAUGAAUGGAUCAGGGCAUAUUUGUUUUCAGUCUUGAUAGAGUUGGCUCUUUGAGUGCCGCAGCCGACAGUGAUAGCCCAGCCUCAGCCAAUGUUAACUAGACACAAGCUGCAGAAAAGGCAUGGUGUGAAGUUGAUGAAGAAACCAGUUGAUAUUCAAUAUUGUUCCUGCUUCAGGAGCAACUUACAAAUAACGUGGUGGAACAGAGGACAUACGUCUAGGUAGAUGAUAGUUCAAAGACAUUUGUGGCCAUUAUCAAAUGAAUAGUCUAGAAAAUAAUAAUUAGAACUCAUCAGGGACAAGAAAGAAUCCUAUGGGCAGGGGAAGAUCCUCAGAGGAUGUGGGAUGUGAGCCAAGCUCUGAAGGAAUAAUGUAGAUGGAACCCAGAAUUCCAAGAUUCCAACCUUACUUUCUAGUCAAAACUCUACCAAUUGCCAGUGGUGAAGCUGGUAUAAGCCACGUAUCUCUGAGCCAAUUUUCUUAUCAUCAAAGUGAAGACAAUAGCACCAGCCAUACCUUCCUUAGGGCGUUUUGCAGGCUAAAUGAGAUAGUGGGCAAUUGAAACUUGUUGUCAUCAAACAAGGUGAAGAGACUGGGCCUUUGAGAAUAAUUGCAUCUCUAUAGAGAAAUCAUGCUUUUACAGAAAAAUUUCUGUAGGAUCUCACCUAUCAGGUCCCUCGUUGGCUGCUCGUCAGAUUUCUCUCUUCAAUUCCAAGCGCAUCUUAUGUAAACAAUAGUGUCUAUGAUAGUGGAUGUGAUUGUGUGCUACCUGGAUCUCCUAGCUGAAAUCCUUCGAAGAAUUUCCUUCAGUCAAUGGGAGCCACCUCCCCUGAGGUUAUGGCUCCAGGUGAAGAUUAAACAGCUGUAGAAGUGUCAUCCAAGAUUGGCCAAUGCUGUUCCUGAGAGUCCUUCCUGGAGAGCCAUCUGCACACAGAUCUCAGUCUCAGAGUCUAUUUCCCAAUGAAUCUAAUCUGAGAGAUCUCUUCAUUUGCUGUUUUUUCCCUGUAUGAAAUAGUUACUUUGUUUUACUUUAUUUUAUUAAGUUCAGUGGUACAUGUGCAGGUGUGUUAUAUAGGUAAAUUGUGUGUC